GUGAAUCAUCGAAUUUUUGAACGCAAAUUGCACUCUCUUCGGAGAGUAUGCCUGUCUGAGGGUCAGUAUUAUUAAAAAUAGGUGUGUUGCAUUUUUUUGUGGCCCAGGAGAUUGGGUCAUCUUAAUAUACUUUAGGAUUUAAGAGGCUUAAAAUUGACUUUUUUUGAGCAUUUUAGCUUUACAUUAAUUUUUUUUUUUAUUUGUCUGUCUUAAUGAUCAAAAUCUUAUUAGAUGAGACUAUAUUGUGAG
rnacentral:misc_RNA from 1 species